AAGUCGUAACAAGGUUUCCGUAGGUGAACCUGCGGAAGGAUCAUUACCAAACAUGGAAUAUAUUAUUCUUAAACCCACACUGCGUACCUGUACUUGUUGCUUCCGUGGUAGGUGAACUAUAUGUUUGCUUCUGCCCAUGUGGUGGACCCACGGGAGAUAUCAAUAUACUCUGCCUUUUAUGAAUUCAGUCUGAUUAUGUUUAUUCUUUAAAUGUUAAAACUUUCAACAACGGAUCUCUUGGUUCUCGCAUCGAUGAAGAACGCAGCGAAAUGCGAUAAGUAGUGUGAAUUGCAGAAUUCAGUGAAUCAUCGAAUCUUUGAACGCACAUUGCGCCUCCUGGCAUUCCGGGAGGCAUGCCUGUUCGAGCGUCAUCAAAACCCUCAAGCCUGGAAUUAUUCAUGACUUGGUAUUGGAGUUGGAGUGAACAUGCAUCAUUCCUAUCCGAAAAUCAAUGGCAAAGUUGUCUGUAUCAACAAGCGUAAUAAUAAACACAAUGUUCCGUUGUUGUAUGAACACACUUUUGCCGUUAACCCCCCCACUUUUAAGUCUUUGACCUCGGAUCAGGUAGGGAUACCCGCUGAACUUAAGCAUAUCAAUAAGCGGAGGAAAAGAAACCAACAGGGAUUGCCUUAGUAACUGCGAGUGAAGCGGCAAAAGCUCAAAUUUGAAGUCUGGCAUCUUUGGUGUCCGAGUUGUAAUUUGGAGAGACAUCUUCGGCUUGAACGCCGUUCGAAGUUCCUUGGAACAGGACGUCACAGAGGGUGAGAAUCCCGUAUGUGGAUGGCUGUUUCAUUCCAUGUGAAGUGUCUUCGACGAGUCGAGUUGUUUGGGAAUGCAGCUCAAAAUGGGUGGUAAAUGUCAUCUAAAGCUAAAUAAUGGCGAGAGACCGAUAGCGCACAAGUAGAGUGAUCGAAAGAUGAAAAGCACUUUGAAAAGAGAGUUAAAAAGUACGUGAAAUUGUUGAAAGGGAAGCGCUUAAGACCAGACUCAAUCCGUGGUGAUCAAUGGUGCUUCUGUACCAUGUACUUGCCACUCUUUGGGACAGCAUCGGUUUGGAUGGUCGGAUAAAGACUUGAGGAAUGUAGCUCUCUUCGGGGAGUGUUAUAGUCUCAGGUGUAAUGCGAUCAAUCCAGACCGAGGACCGCGCUUCGGCUAGGAUGCUGUCAUAAUGGUCUUUAGCGACC
rnacentral:rRNA from 1 species